UAUUGGCAGGGGGGAAACCUGACGCAGCGACGCCGCGUUGCGGGAAGAAGGCCUUCGGGUCGUAAACCGCUGUCAGGAGGGAAGAAACUGUUAGGGUAUAAUACGCCCUUUCACUGACGGUACCUCCAAAGGAAGCACCGGCUAACUCCGUGCCAGCAGCCGCGGUAAUACGGAGGGGCGAGCGUUAAUCGGAAUCA
rnacentral:rRNA from 1 species